rnacentral:rRNA from 1 species
UACGGGAGGCAGCAGUGGGGAAUAUUGCACAAUGGGCGAAAGCCUGAUGCAGCUAUGCCGCGUGUAUGAAGAAGGCCUUAGGGUUGUAAAGUACUUUCAUCGGGGAGGAAAAACAAAACUAAUAAUUUUAUUUCUUGACGUUACCCGAAAAAGAAGCACCGGCUAACUCCGUGCCAGCAGCCGCGGUAAUACGGAGGGUGCUAGCGUUAAUCAGAAUUACUGGGCGUAAAGAGCACGUAGGUGGUUUUUUUAAGUCAGAUGUGAAAUCCCUGGGCUUAACCUAGGAACUGCAUUUUGAAACUGAAAUACUAGAGUAUCGUAGAGGGAGGUAGAAUUCUAGGUGUAGCGGUGAAAUGCGUAGAUAUCUGGAGGAAGUACCUGUGGCGAAAGCGGCCGUCCUAAACGAAUACUGACACUGAGGUGCGAAAGCGUGGGGAGGCAAACAGGGAUUAGAUACC